rnacentral:rRNA from 1 species
AGCUCUGUAAGCGUAUACCAAAGUUGUUGCAGUUAAAACGCUCGUAGUCGGAUUUUGGCGGAGGCGGCGGGCCGUCCGCGAGGACGAACCUGUUCGCUGACGCCUUUGUGGAGGGUGGGUCGGUGGUGCUUCACUGCAUUGCCGGCUCGCUGCCACCGUUUACUGUGAAUAAAUUAGAGUGUUCAAAGCAAGCAAACUGCCCUGAAUACAUUAGCAUGGAAUAAUAGAAUAGGACCUGGUCUUGUUUCUAUUGGUUUGUAAAGUUCAGGUAAUGAUUAAGAGGGACGGUUGGGGGCAUUUGUAUUCCGGCGCUAGAGGUGAAAUUCUUGGAUUGCCGGAAGACAAACAGCUGCGAAAGCGUCUGCCAAGGACGUUUUCA